UACAGAGGGGGCAAGCGUUAUUCGGAAUUAUUGGGCGUAAAGGGCGCGUAGGCGGUGUUUUAAGUGGGAUGUGCAAUCCCCGGGCUUAACCUGGGAACUGCAUCCCAGACUGGAACGCUGGAGUACUGGAGAGGGUGGUGGAAUUCCACGUGUAGCGGUGAAAUGCGUAGAGAUGUGGAGGAACACCAGUGGCGAAGGCGGCCACCUGGACAGUAACUGACGCUGAGGCGCGAAAGUGUGGGUAGCAAACAGG
rnacentral:rRNA from 2 species